AGGCUUUUGAAACUGCUCAACCUACCUAGUGGCUCAUCCAUCACUGAUGAAAAUGUGUUAAGUGCCAGACUGCCCCUCUGCACUUCUCAUCAGCAUCUUAAGUAUAAACUAGGGUGCUCUAUUCGCUCUCUCAUUUUUUCAAAAAGAUUUCUGUGCUUUCAAAGAGAAAAUAGCAGUGGUCAUGCUUGGAGAAGGGAAGUUACUUUGAUGCCACAGAUCAAUAAGAGGCAUUGUUCGGCUAAGUAUGACAGAUAAACGUGGAGAAAAAAAAAUGCCGUUUCCCAAUCUUAAAAGAAAUCACCAUCACGAGGCAUCCUCAGGUAAGCAUCAGAAAAGGUAGCUUUUGAGCCUGGAGCUUUAGGAUGUUUGCAGGAAUCUUUUCAGGUUAAUAUGAGUCAAGUGUAAUG
rnacentral:lncRNA from 1 species